GCCCGGGUGGUGGAAUCGGUAGACACGCAGGACUUAAAAUCCUGUGAGCAGCAAUGUUCGUGCGGGUUCGAUUCCCGCGCCGGGCA
rnacentral:tRNA from 1 species